GAAGGAUCAUUAUCGAAUCAACAGAGGGUUGUUGCUGGGUGUCAAAGACAUCAAGUGCACGCCUUCGUUCAUUCUCAAACCCCUGUGCACCUAUUGUAGGCUUGGUCUAGGGCCGACUUCGGUUGGUUUGAAGCCAGCCUAUGUUUUACACACGCUUCAGUUUAGAAUGUCAUUUGCGGAUAACGCAUCUUAUACAACUUUCAGCAACGGAUCUCUUGGCUCUCGCAUCGAUGAAGAACGCAGCGAAAUGCGAUAAGUAAUGUGAAUUGCAGAAUUCAGUGAAUCAUCGAAUCUUUGAACGCACCUUGCGCUCCUUGGUAUUCCGAGGAGCAUGCCUGUUUGAGUGUCAUGGAAUUCUCAACCUCUACUGCUUUUGUGGCAGAGGCUUGGACUUGGAGGUCGUGUCGGCUUGCGAAAGUCGACUCCUCUGAAAUGCAUUAGUGCGAGCCUUACGGAUCGCUUCGGUUGAUAAUUGUCUACGCGUGGUGUGAAGUAUACUUGUGUUCGCUUCUAACUGUCCGCAAGGACACUUUACAAUCUGACCUCAAAUCAGGUAGGACUACCCGCUGAACUUAA
rnacentral:rRNA from 1 species